CCAUUUUGCUUUUCCCCUCACCAGGAGCUGUGUUGGGUGCUCUGGGAUAGACUGGAGAGCUGCCUGCCCUGUCUUGUUUGCAGUGACGCAGCCAGGAAUGCUAUUGCUGUGAACUCACAUUUGGCAUGUGCUUCCAAGAACGCCCUUUGGAGACCGAAGGGUCAAAUGCACCACCUCAGCGUGUCAUGAUGGGAAGAGGCAUCCUCGUGGCAAGGAAAAGCGCAGCACAGAGCCUACAUGCAUGCUUUGGGCUUAUAACGGGUUCUGGAGACACAGGAAGGUGAAUGGACUGGUCUAAAGUCAUACAACACAGGAAAAGUAGGAACAGAGGCCAGGUUUCCAGGCUUCAAGUCAUGUACCUUAACCACUAAAAAACUUCAUUUCCUUGAAUUAA